CCUACGGGGCGCAGCAGUGGGGGAUAUUGCACAAUGGGGGGAACCCUGAUGCAGCGAAGCCGCGUGGGUGAAGAAGCGCCUCGGCGCGUAAAGCCCUGUCAGCAGGGAAGAAAAUGACGGUACCUGAAGACGAAGCCCCGGCUAACUACGUGCCAGCAGCCGCGGUAAUACGUAGGGGGCAAGCGUUAUCCGGAUUUACUGGGUGUAAAGGGGGCGCAGACGGCGAUGCAAGCCAGGAGUGAAAGCCCGGGGACCAACCCCGGGACUGCGCUUGGAACUGCGUGGCUGGAGUGCAGGAGGGGGAUGCGGAAUGCCUGGUGUAGCGGUGAAAGGCGUAGAUAUCAGGAGGAACACCGAUGGCGAAGGCAGCCUGCUGGAUCGCAACUGACGUUGAGGCCCGAAAGCGUGGGGAGCAAACAGGAUUAGAUACCCGAGUAGUC
rnacentral:rRNA from 1 species